AGAGGUGUUUCAUGGGCGCUACAUUGCGCUACACGUGGCGCCGUGUAAACAUCUAACU
rnacentral:pre_miRNA from 1 species